rnacentral:rRNA from 1 species
AGUGAACGCUGGCGGUAGGCCUAACACAUGCAAGUCGAACGGCAGCACAGUAAGAGCUUGCUCUUACGGGUGGCGAGUGGCGGACGGGUGAGGAAUAAAUCGGAAUCUACUUUUUCGUGGGGGAUAACGUAGGGAAACUUACGCUAAUACCGCAUACGACCUACGGGUGAAAGCAGGGGAUCUUCGGACCUUGCGCGAUUGAAUGAGCCGAUGUCGGAUUAGCUAGUUGGCGGGGUAAAGGCCCACCAAGGCGACGAUCCGUAGCUGGUCUGAGAGGAUGAUCAGCCACACUGGAACUGAGACACGGUCCAGACUCCUACGGGAGGCAGCAGUGGGGAAUAUUGGACAAUGGGCGCAAGCCUGAUCCAGCCAUACCGCGUGGGUGAAGAAGGCCUUCGGGUUGUAAAGCCCUUUUGUUGGGAAAGAAAAGCAGCAGGUUAAUACCCCGCUGUUCUGACGGUACCCAAAGAGUAAGCACCGGCUAACUUCGUG